rnacentral:rRNA from 1 species
UUGACCUCGGAUCGGGUAGGGAUACCCGCUGAACUUAAGCAUAUCAAUAAGCGGAGGAAAAGAAACCAACAGGGAUUGCCUUAGUAACGGCGAGUGAAGCGGCAACAGCUCAAAUUUGAAAUCUGGCUCUUUCAGAGUCCGAGUUGUAAUUUGUAGAAGAUGCUUUGGGUGUGGCUCCGGUCUAAGUUCCUUGGAACAGGACGUCAUAGAGGGUGAGAAUCCCGUACGUGACUGGGUGCCUUCGCUCGUGUAAAGCUCUUUCGACGAGUCGAGUUGUUUGGGAAUGCAGCUCAAAAUGGGUGGUAAAUUUCAUCUAAAGCUAAAUAUUGGCCAGAGACCGAUAGCGCACAAGUAGAGUGAUCGAAAGAUGAAAAGCACUUUGGAAAGAGAGUUAAACAGUACGUGAAAUUGUUGAAAGGGAAGCGCUUGCAACCAGACUUGCGCGCUGUUGAUCAUCCGAGGUUUUCCCCGGUGCACUCGGCAGCGUUCAGGCCAGCAUCGGUUUUGGUGGGCGGAUAAAGGCCUUGGGAAUGUAGCUUCUUUCGGGGAGUGUUAUAGCCCUCGGUGCAAUGCGCCCUACCGGGACCGAGGACCGCG